CAGUCGCCACGGGAAUACGAGGGGGGCAAGCGUUGUUCGGAAUUAUUGGGCGUAAAGGGUGCGUAGGCGGCUUGACAAGUCUUGUGUGAAAUCUAUGGGCUCAACCCAUAGUCUGCACGGGAAACUGUCGGGCUUGAGAAUGGGAGAGGUGAGUGGAAUUUCCGGUGUAGCGGUGAAAUGCGUAGAUAUCGGAAGGAACACCUGUGGCGAAAGCGGCUCACUGGACCAUUUCUGACGCUGAUGCACGAAAGCUAGGGGAGCAAACAGGAUUAGAUACCCCCGUAGUCCCUGUCUCUUAUAC
rnacentral:rRNA from 1 species